rnacentral:rRNA from 1 species
UACGAAGGGGGCAAGCGUUGUUCGGAAUUACUGGGCGUAAAGGGCGCGUAGGCGGCUUAUCAAGUCAGACGUGAAAUUCCCGGGCUCAACCUGGGGGCUGCGCUUGAUACUGAUGAGCUUGAAUGCGGGAGAGGAUAGUGGAAUUCCCAGUGUAGAGGUGAAAUUCGUAGAUAUUGGGAAGAACACCGGUGGCGAAGGCGGCUAUCUGGCCCGUAAUUGACGCUGAGGCGCGAAAGCGUGGGGAGCAAACAGG